UCUGUAUCAUCAUACAAAUAAAUGCCCUUACCAGGAUUCGAACCCGGGACCAUCGGCUUCAUAGGCAGGGUCACUACCCACUAGGCCAGACCGGUCGUCAAAAAGAAAUGACAGAGUUGCCAGGAUUGUAACAUCAGAAGAGAUUGUAACUCCUACCUACAUUACCUA